UGGGGAAUAUUGCACAAUGGAGGGAACUCUGAUGCAGCGACGCCGCGUGAACGAAGAAGGCUUUCGCGUCGUAAAGUUCUUUUAUAUGGGAAGAUAAUGACGGUACCAUAAGAAAAAGCCCCGGCUAACUACGUGCCAGCAGCCGCGGUAAUACGUAGGGGGCUAGCGUUGUCCGGAAUCACUGGGCGUAAAGGGUUCGCAGGCGGAAAUGCAAGUCAGGUGUAAAAGGCAGUAGCUUAACUACUGUAAGCAUUUGAAACUGCAUAUCUUGAGAAGAGUAGAGGUAAGUGGAAGUUUUGGUGUAGCGGUGAAAUGCGUAGAUAUUAAAAAGAAUACCGGUGGCGAAGGCGACUUACUGAGCUCAUUCUGACGCUGAGGAACGAAAGCGAGGGUAGCAAACAGG
rnacentral:rRNA from 1 species